ACCCAGACCGCCAGCUAAGGUCCCAAAGUUGUGGUUAAGUGGUAAACGAUGUGGGAAGGCUUAGACAGCUAGGAGGUUGGCUUAGAAGCAGCCAUCCUUUAAAGAAAGCGUAAUAGCUCACUAGUCGAGUCGGCCUGCGCGGAAGAUGUAACGGGGCUCAAACCACACACCGAAGCUGCGGGUGUCACGUAAGUGACGCGGUAGAGGAGCGUUCUGUAAGCCUGUGAAGGUGAGUUGAGAAGCUUGCUGGAGGUAUCAGAAGUGCGAAUGCUGACAUGAGUAACGACAAUGGGUGUGAAAAACACCCACGCCGAAAGACCAAGGGUUCCUGCGCAACGUUAAUCGACGCAGGGUUAGUCGGUUCCUAAGGCGAGGCUGAAAAGCGUAGUCGAUGGGAAACAGGUUAAUAUUCCUGUACUUCUGGUUACUGCGAUGGAGGGACGGAGAAGGCUAGGCCAGCUUGGCGUUGGUUGUCCAAGUUUAAGGUGGUAGGCUGAAAUCUUAGGUAAAUCCGGGGUUUCAAGGCCGAGAGCUGAUGACGAGUCGUCUUUUAGAUGACGAAGUGGUUGAUGCCAUGCUUCCAAGAAAAGCUUCUAAGCUUCAGGUAACCAGGAACCGUACCCCAAACCGACACAGGUGGUCGGGUAGAGAAUACCAAGGCGCUUGAGAGAACUCGGGUGAAGGAACUAGGCAAAAUGGCACCGUAACUUCGGGAGAAGGUGCGCCGGCUAGGGUGAAGGAUUUACUCCGUAAGCUCUGGCUGGUCGAAGAUACCAGGCCGCUGCGACUGUUUAUUAAAAACACAGCACUCUGCAAACACGAAAGUGGACGUAUAGGGUGUGACGCCUGCCCGGUGCCGGAAGGUUAAUUGAUGGGGUUAGCGCAAGCGAAGCUCUUGAUCGAAGCCCCGGUAAACGGCGGCCGUAACUAUAACGGUCCUAAGGUAGCGAAAUUCCUUGUCGGGUAAGUUCCGACCUGCACGAAUGGCGUAACGAUGGCGGCGCUGUCUCCACCCGAGACUCAGUGAAAUUGAAAUCGCUGUGAAGAUGCAGUGUAUCCGCGGCUAGACGGAAAGACCCCGUGAACCUUUACUGUAGCUUUGCACUGGACUUUGAGCCUGCUUGUGUAGGAUAGGUGGGAGGCUUUGAAGCGUGGACGCCAGUUCGCGUGGAGCCAUCCUUGAAAUACCACCCUGGCAUGCUUGAGGUUCUAACUCUGGUCCGUGAUCCGGAUCGAGGACAGUGUAUGGUGGGCAGUUUGACUGGGGCGGUCUCCUCCUAAAGAGUAACGGAGGAGUACGAAGGUGCGCUCAGACCGGUCGGAAAUCGGUCGCAGAGUAUAAAGGCAAAAGCGCGCUUGACUGCGAGACAGACACGUCGAGCAGGUACGAAAGUAGGUCUUAGUGAUCCGGUGGUUCUGUAUGGAAGGGCCAUCGCUCAACGGAUAAAAGGUACUCCGGGGAUAACAGGCUGAUACCGCCCAAGAGUUCAUAUCGACGGCGGUGUUUGGCACCUCGAUGUCGGCUCAUCACAUCCUGGGGCUGAAGCCGGUCCCAAGGGUAUGGCUGUUCGCCAUUUAAAGUGGUACGCGAGCUGGGUUUAGAACGUCGUGAGACAGUUCGGUCCCUAUCUGCCGUGGACGUUUGAGAUUUGAGAGGGGCUGCUCCUAGUACGAGAGGACCGGAGUGGACGAACCUCUGGUGUUCCGGUUGUCACGCCAGUGGCAUUGCCGGGUAGCUAUGUUCGGAAAAGAUAACCGCUGAAAGCAUCUAAGCGGGAAACUUGCCUCAAGAUGAGAUCUCACUGGGAACUUGAUUCCCCUGAAGGGCCGUCGAAGACUACGACGUUGAUAGGCUGGGUGUGUAAGCGUUGUGAGGCGUUGAGCUAACCAGUACUAAUUGCCCGUGAGGCUUGACCAU
rnacentral:rRNA from 1 species